rnacentral:rRNA from 1 species
UACGUAGGUGGCAAGCGUUAUCCGGAAUUAUUGGGCGUAAAGCGCGCGCAGGCGGUUUCUUAAGUCUGAUGUGAAAGCCCACGGCUCAACCGUGGAGGGUCAUUGGAAACUGGGGAACUUGAGUGCAGAAGAGAAAAGCGGAAUUCCACGUGUAGCGGUGAAAUGCGUAGAGAUGUGGAGGAACACCAGUGGCGAAGGCGGGUCUCUGGGCCGAUACUGACGCUGAGGUGCGAAAGCGUGGGGGAGCAAACAGG